rnacentral:pre_miRNA from 1 species
CUCCUACUCCCUCCGUUCGGAAUUACUUGUCUCGGAAAUGGAUGUAUCUAGAACUAAAAUACAUCUAGAUACAUCCAUUUCUGCGACAAGUAAUUCCGAACGGAGGGAGUAGUUG